rnacentral:rRNA from 1 species
UACGAAGGGGGCGAGCGUUGUUCGGAUUUACUGGGCGUAAAGGGCGCGUAGGCGGUGCGGCAAGUCAGGCGUGAAAGCCCCGGGCUCAACCUGGGAGGUGCGCUUGGGACUGCGGCACUGGAGUUCGGGAGAGGAGCGUGGAAUUCCCAGUGUAGAGGUGAAAUUCGUAGAUAUUGGGAAGAACACCGGUGGCGAAGGCGGCGCUCUGGACCGAGACUGACGCUGAGGCGCGAAAGCGUGGGGAGCAAACAGG